CCUACGGGAGGCAGCAGUGGGGAAUAUUGCACAAUGGGGGAAACCCUGAUGCAGCGACGCCGCGUGAAGGAAGAAGGUCUUCGGAUCGUCAACUUCUAUCAGCAGGGAAGAAGGAAGUGACGGUACCUGACUAAGAAGCCCCGGCUAACUACGUGCCAGCAGCCGCGGUAAGACGUAGGGGGCAAGCGUUAUCCGGGAUCACUGGGUGUAAACGGUGCGUAGGCGGUAGGGCAAGUCAGAUGUGAAAGCCCGGAGCUCAACGCAGGGAUUGCAGUUGUAACUGUCUUACUAGAGUGCAGGUGGGGAAAGCGGAAUUCCUAGUGUCGCGGUGAAAGGCGUAGAUAUUAGGGAGAAGACCAGGGGCGAAGGCGGCUUUGUAGACUGUAACUGACGAUGAGGCACGAAAGCGUGGGGAGCGAACAGGGUUAGAUACCCGUGUAGUC
rnacentral:rRNA from 1 species